CCUACGGGCGGCAGCAGUGGGGAAUAUUGCACAAUGGGGGAAACCCUGAUGCAGCGACGCCGCGUGAGUGAAGAAGUAAUUCGUUAUGUAAAGCUCUAUCAGCAGGGAAGAAAAUGACGGUACCUGAGUAAGACGCCCCGGCUAACUACGUGCCAGCCGCCGCGGUCAUACGUAGGGGGCAAGCGUUAUCCGGAUUUACUGGGUGUAAAGGGAGCGUAGACGGCAGUGCAAGUCUGGAGUGAAAGGCGGGGGCUCAACCCCCGGACUGCUCUGGAAACUGUAAGGCUGGAGUGCAGGAGAGGUAAGUGGAAUUCCUAGUGUAGCGGUGAAAUGCGUAGAUAUUAGGAGGAACACCAGUGGCGAAGGCGGCUUACUGGACUGUAACUGACGUUGAGGCUCGAAAGCGUGGGGAGCAAACAGGAUUAGAUACCCUAGUAGUC
rnacentral:rRNA from 1 species